UACGUAGGGUGCAAGCGUUAAUCGGAAUUACUGGGCGUAAAGCGUGCGCAGGCGGUGAUGUAAGACAGAUGUGAAAUCCCCGGGCUCAACCUGGGAACUGCAUUUGUGACUGCAUCGCUGGAGUGCGGCAGAGGGGGAUGGAAUUCCGCGUGUAGCAGUGAAAUGCGUAGAUAUGCGGAGGAACACCGAUGGCGAAGGCAAUCCCCUGGGCCUGCACUGACGCUCAUGCACGAAAGCGUGGGGAGCAACAGG
rnacentral:rRNA from 1 species